rnacentral:rRNA from 1 species
GUGGGGAAUCUUAGACAAUGGGGGCAACCCUGAUCUAGCCAUGCCGCGUGAGUGAUGAAGGCCUUAGGGUUGUAAAGCUCUUUCAGUGGGGAAGAUAAUGACGGUACCCACAGAAGAAGCCCCGGCUAACUCCGUGCCAGCAGCCGCGGUAAUACGGAGGGGGCUAGCGUUGUUCGGAAUUACUGGGCGUAAAGCGCACGUAGGCGGAUCGGAAAGUUGGGGGUGAAAUCCCAGGGCUCAACCCUGGAACUGCCUUCAAAACUAUCGGUCUGGAGUCCGAGAGAGGUGAGUGGAAUUCCGAGUGUAGAGGUGAAAUUCGUAGAUAUUCGGAAGAACACCAGUGGCGAAGGCGACUCACUGGCCCAAUACUGACGCUGAGGCGCGAAAGCGUGGGGAGCAAACAGGAUUAGAAACCCCGGUAGUCC